GCUUGAAGAUUCCUUUCAGCAUUUUUUUCAGGUCUGAUGGUGAUGAACUCCCUCAGCUUUUGUUCGUUAAGCAAAGUCCUUAUCUCAUCUUCAUUUUGAAAGACAACUUUGCAAGUCAGCUGCCAUAUUGUGAGCUGCUAUACGCAGAUGCUCACAUGGUGAAGAAUGGCGUAAGGCCUCUGGCUAACAGCUUAUGAGGAACUGAGGCCCACAGUUCAACAGCCCAGAAGAACUGACUCCUGUCAACAGUUUCUCAAGUGGGCAAGGAAGCAGAUCCUUCCCCAGUCCAGCCUUCAGAUGACCAUAGCUCCUGCCGACACUGGGACUGUAGCCCAUGAGAUGCCCCGAAGCAGAGGAGCCAGAAUUCUUGGAGAGUUGGAAGGGUUAGAGCUCCCUGUCUGUGUGUGACUGAAGAUCCUGCUUCUCCUCCCUCCAGUCCAUCUUCUAUUUGGCAUCAAGCGAUCUUUUAAAAUGCUUCUUUAUCCCGUCAUCUACCGGAGGACGCUUUGGUUGUUUCCAUGUCCUGGCCACCGUGAAUAAUGCUGCUGUGAACAUCGGU